rnacentral:rRNA from 1 species
UACGGAGGGUGCGAGCGUUGUCCGGAAUCACUGGGCGUAAAGGGCGCGUAGGCGGCUCAUGAAGGCUGUGGUGAAAGUCCGGGGCUCAACCUCGGAUCGGCCGUGGCGACUCGUGGGCUGGAGCACUGUAGAGGCGGGUGGAAUUCCGGGUGUAGCGGUGGAAUGCGCAGAUAUCGGGAAGAACACCCGUGGCGAAGGCGGUUCUCUGGGACGGUACUGACGCUGAGACGCGAAAGCGUGGGGAGCGAACAGGG